rnacentral:rRNA from 1 species
GCUCAAAUUUGAAAUCUCCUUCGGGCGAAUUGUAGUUUAGAGAAGCGUUUUCUGUUGGACGGUAGGUACAAGUUCUUUGGAACAAGACAUCAUAGAGGGUGAAAAUCCCGUCUUUGACCUAUUGAAAGGCUUUGUGAUACGUUUUCCAAGAGUCGGUUUGUUUGGGAAUGCAGACCAAAAUGGGUGGUAAAUACCAUCUAAAGCUAAAUAUUGGCGAGAGACCGAUAGCGAACAAGUACCGUGAGGGAAAGAUGAAAAGAACUUUGAAAAGAGAGUUAAACAGUUCGUGAAAUUGUCAAAAGGGAAACGUUUGGAACCAGUAUUGCUUGUAAGAAUUCAGCUUUUAUUUAUAAGGGUGUAUUUUUUUACGGCGAGUCAACAUCAGUUUGGCUUGGAGCAAAAAGCCAUGGAAAGGUAGCCUUCGGGUGUUAUAGUCCAUGGUCAUACUCUAGGCUAGACUGAGGACUGCAGCGUUUUUGGCAUUUGCACACCAACGCUUAGGACGUUGACGAAAUGGUUUUAAGCGACCCGUCUUGAAACACGGACCAAGGAGUCUAACAUAUAUGCGAGUAUUUGGGUGGUAAACCCUUAUGCGUAAUGAAAGUAAAAAGGUGGGAUCCUUCAAGGUGCACCAUCGACCGCGCCAGAUUAUUACUAUCUCGGCGUGAGUAUGAGCAUACAUGCUGGGACCCGAAAGAUGGUGAACUAUGCCUGAAUAGGGUGAAGCCAGAGG